rnacentral:lncRNA from 1 species
AGUGCGGACCUUUCUUCAGCCUCUGUGCGACCGAGCCGCGCGCCAGGCUCCUGUGCGAGGAGGACGCGCUGACUCCCUCCGACCUGGGCUCCGAUGGAGCAGAAAUAGCGGGACCUGGACUUGUGGCGCGCCUGGUGCCACAUCUCGGGCUCUGCGAGCGUCCUGGCGCGGGAUCCUGCCGUGAGAAGGAGUUGGGGCGGGGGACCCGGCGGGGCAUUGCGGGAGAAGGCCUGGGAUCCCUGGGAGCCUUGUAGCGUGGGGGAGUUCACUGUGUAGAGAGGUUUCAUGUCUUCAUCUAUAUAGUCACUUAUUUGUCUUAAAGUUCUCGAAAUUCCCUCUUAGAGAAGGAGAAAGUUAGAGAACUGGAGGCUGCGUACCCUGAUUACGCAGAAGGGAAGCAGCCUCGCAUUCCCCGGGGCAGGCCCCCGCCCGCGCGUCCCGCCAGUAGGGGAAUUUAGCGGACGGCUGCGGUUGUCUGGUGAAAGGCUAUCCAAGGAUAAGGGGCUUCACUUUUCCCAAGUAGGGGAAAGAGAAGGGGUCUACAGGGCUAGGGGUGGAGGGAGCGGAUGCAGUGAGCAGCCUCCGCAGAGAAAUUGACAAUUUAACCAGGGACCUGCGGCAGAGACAAGGCGGAGACACUCCCUUGCCCAGGAAAGCCGCCAGAGUCCGGCUUGUACCUGGGGAAGAAUCCUUAAGACGGUCUGGCCCAACACUCCUUUGCUCACAGAGAAAGGGGAGAAGACUCCCGAGGGUGAAAAUGGUACAUUCGGAGCUGGAACUCAGCUCGCUGACCCCAAGCAGUGUUCCCUUCUUUUCGCCAGGUUUGCAUCCAAGAGAGGGGAGGACAGGGGCAAAAGGAUGCAGGGAGGCUGCUGAUUUCCACUGAAGAGCUAAUUUCCUGUGAGACAUUAACAGUGAUUUAAGAAAAAGAUUCCUGUAACUGGUAAAUGAAUUUCAUUUGCUUAACUUUUAGAUGAUAUGUUUCAGGCAAAAAAAAAGUUGUGCACCCACUUAUCUCUUUAAAGCGGAGGAUGAAAAGCAUUGAAUAGGUAGGAUUCUUAAUGUCUGAGAUGAAGGCGAUGUAGGAGGCAAACAAUACGGUUAAAAAUGUUGAGUCGACCCAAACAGAAAGACCAGGUUUCAAUCCAGACUCUGCGGCUUACUGAGAAUAUGAUCUUGAGUAAACUGCUUGACCUUCCUGAGCCUCAGCUUUCUUAGUUGUUAAAUGGACUUUAACAAUACUAAUCUGUUAGGACUGUGGUGAGGAUGAAAUCAGGGAAAUCAGUCACAGCAGUGCUCUCCUGGCACAGGUGAGUAGGAGUUCGAAAUGAUAAUUCCCUCCUCUUUCCCUCUUAGGUAUAACUUACUACUUGGGGAUGAGGGGGAUCAAAUGUAGUCAGAACUGGAAGAGAUCUUAAAAAAAGAUGAUUUGUUUAACCUUGUGUCUUUUUUUCACUUGAGAAAACAGAUCCUCCGUAAGUUGGCUGCACUAGUUGAAGCUUAUUCAGUGAGCCAGGGGCAGUGCCAGGAUCUGAAGCCAGAGCUGCAGGCAAUGCCCAGGAGUAGGCAAGACUUGAUAGCAAAGCCUAAUCUCACCCAGAGAAGUUGAGUGUUAGCAUUAUGAGGCAUAGUUCUAAAUGGAAACUCAUCAUGAGAACCGAAUAUAUACAUAUUGUAAAACCAAAUGACAAGCUACCAUUCAUGGAAUAUACUAAUAUUUAUUAGGUUCUAACUACAUGCAAGAUGUUGUUUUAUAGGCUUUACACAUAAUACUUAAUUUCUCCUGACAUUUUGAUAAAAUAGGUACUGUUAUCUCCUUUUACAGGUAAGGAAACUGAGGUAUACAAGGAUGAACUUUUGCAAGGCUACAAAUCUUGUUAAUAGUGAAGCUAACGUUCAGACCCAAGUGGUUCGGCUCUAGACUUUGUCUCAGUUACUGAAUUGAACUCUCUGUGCACUUACGAUGUGUCAUACCAGUUCUCACUACAUAGUGUCCCAAAAGAUUGGGCCUGCUCUUUCUUUCAGAGACAAUUAGGAAAAAAGUAAACAAACGGAGCAGGAUUUGGGCAUAACAGCAUGCUCCUCCCAUCCCCCAAAUCCCAGGAGUGUCACUGAGGUCAGUGCCAGUUAACUUAGUGCUCUUCAACUUCACAGCUACCCUUCUUUGCCCUAAAUUGUGACAUUAGAGCUGAAAUCUGUAAACGUCUUUAUGGUCAGUUGGCACAGUGUUUAGCUUUGUCAAUAGAAGGUGCUAGGGGAACACUGCAGAAAGAAAGGGGCUCCUUUUCUUGGUUCCAGUGCUUUCCUGCUUGCUCCUACGGUGUGGUGGCCAGUGAGUGACUUUCUGACCAGUGGUGUGCAAGAAGGCCAUGUUACAUAAUCUUCAGUAAAUUUGGCCAGUUCCCUAGUAUGUGUCUUUCUAUGGAGUACCACUGGCAUGUCAGUGGAAUGGCUUCCUAGCAAGUUUUACUGAAAACACAGCUGAUGGUUUCCUCAGCAGCCCAGUGUGUGACACCUUAAAUUUCUGGAUCAUUAAGUGGACCACAGCCAUAUUAUUUCCAAUGAGCGCCUACUUUCAGGCUUAGUAGGGUGGAGGGUGGGUAGGGGGAAGUUCUACUCAGUUAUUCCCUCCUUGGGUACUCUCCUAGAGCCUGAGAGAUAGUGGCUGUUCCCAAUAACCACUAUUACUGUAUUCUUUAGUGGGAUUUUUUCCUGUCCUAAUAGUCAAUACCCUUUGACUGGAUCUUAACUGAUAAAAGUGGAACCCUGAGGAAAGCACUAUCCUUGGAGUCAGAAAUUGGGAUCAGAUUUUUUUUCUUUCUCUUAUGGUAUUCCUCAUAUUCGCUUAAUUUCUCCACUGCCUUUACCCUUUUUGGAUUUGAUGCUAUGUCAAGAAAAAAUUAUUUCAUCACUGAGCACUCUGAGUGUAGAGCAGAGUGCUAAAUAUUGCAUGCUAUUCCAGAAGAAAAAUAGUUUAGGAAUCCUAAAAGCCAAAGAAAGAAAGAUAUGAAUGCAUUCAGUUCUUAGAAGAGUUCUAUGAGAUAGAUGCUUGUGGCAGACAUAGUCUCCACCCAGAUCUCCUAGGAUCCCUUUGGUUGAAUCUGAGUAUCCUUCCUCUAGCUUCUGUGUUCUUUUACUUCUCACAGCCUGCCCCGAGAAUCUCUUUGGAGGAAGGCCCAAACACUACUAGACUCACUUUGUGUACUGGCAUAGAGAGCCAGACAGAACCACCUGCAAGUUUACUUCUUUCCCAGGAUACCCUUUGCCAAGGACUUUCCUAUAGAGUAUAAAAGACCAGCCGUCUUGCCUCUAGUAGCAAGAAAACCUGAGGUGUAAUUUACACCCUGAGGCUCCCCUAUAGAAUUAUAUUGAUGUUAAUAUUUUGCCUGAAACCACCUUCUUCCCUAUCUUGCUUACUGUGGUACCUGAUGAGUUUUUCUUGGUAGCAUUUCUAUAAUAAAUCACUUGCAGACAAUCUUCAUCUCAGGGUUUGAUCCUGGGGAUCCUGACUUAAGACAUUGCUAUUCUUUUUUUUUUUUCUUUUACAGAUGAGGAAACUGAGGAUCAGGGCUUUUAAAUUGCCCCAAAUCACACUACUAAUAAGAGAUAGAGUUGUGGUACCUUUUUUAGAGGGACCAUUAUUCUGCUGACUGCAGUACUGUAGAGCAUAAAGUUUCUUAUCCACACUGUUUCUUAGUUCAGUCUGUCAAUAUCACUACUCCACGAUUAUUGUUGUUUGUUUUUCUUUCUCCCUGUCUUUUACCUCAAAAAUCUCUAUUGUGAUGCCAGAGAGACCUUUCUGAAACCUCUCCUUUUUUCUGUGUUUAAAACCCCCCAGUGCCGCCCAUGAAAUACACAGCAAAGUCCAAACUCCUUAUCUUGCUUGGAUCCUCCUUUCCACCCUUUUUAACUGUUCAGCCAUAUUUCUCCAUGUACUUCUGAGAUUGGAACCCAGGGCAACAAAGCUAAUGUGGGUUCUCCAAGAUUAACACAACUGAAAGGAGGCCCCUUUAUGCCAUCUAUUCUAGGUCCCUUGGAAUAUAAUUAAAAACAGGAAUUUCAACAUUGAAAUGUAAUGAUGUUCAGGUAAGGGCAGUAAGGUACAUUGACUUGAGUCAAUCUCCCACCAUGUCUGGGGACUGGGACAGCUGAGCCAGGGGUCCUACCUAAGGGUCAGGCCUGUGUCUUCACUUCUCCUUUCAACCCUUUACUUCUUCCAGAGUUGAACGGCUUACUUUCCUUCUCUCACUAGGCCAUUUCAUGGCUUGUGUUUGCCUGAAAUACAACUCUUUCCCUCCCUGGUCUACACCUGCUCACCCUGAAAGAAAUACCUCUGAGCCCACUUUCUUUCUUGGAAGCAUUUUAUGACUCUUAUUUCUGUUAUCAACACAGCUUUUAUUUAUGUCUCCAUGUAUCCUUUGAAGAAACACAACUUUUCAGGUUCUAUGUUUUAUUUGCAUUCUUAGUGUCUGGCACAUUGUCUGACACAGUGUAAAAGCUGAGUAGAAUUUUGCCUGAUAGCAGAUGUGCCUGAAGUGAGGGUGUCCAAAAUUUCAUUAAAUGACGACUGCUUUAAUAUGAAUUCUUGGCUAAGGCAGGAGAAUCGCUUGAACCCAGGAGGCAGAGGUUGCAGUGAGCCGAGAUCACACCACUGCACUCCAGCCUGGUGAGAGAGGGAGACUGCAUUCUCAAAAAAAAAAAAAAAAAAAAAAAAAAAAAAAAAAAAGAAUAUAUAUGAAUUCUUACUGAUAGUAUUAAAUGAUUAUCUCUUUACAUUCACAGUAAUGUCUUACAAUAACAGAAUGCAGGAGAGCACAUAUCAAUGAAGAAAAGACAAAAUGUACUUAUCCAUGAAGCUGAGGUUAAGAAACCAGUGUCUUCAAGAGCCAGGGACAGCACUGGGUCUGUGCAGAGUUGAGAGAUGGUGAUGACAUGGUGAGACACAAAUUCAGUCUAUUUCAUAGUUUGUGGUCAUUCCUAUUAAUAAACUUCCUUUCACAACUGUUUCAAUAUUCACACAAAAAUGUUAACCCAAUCUGCAGUUGUACCCCUUGAAUGUAAAAUAAAAAACAAAAGCCCACAAAAAUAGGAAUCCACACUUAAAAGGUGGAUUUAUUUAGCACAGUAUGGAGUUUCUUAGACUUCUCUAUCACUGUCUCUAACAAUGACAUACUCACCUAACCCCACUAAGAGCAACUUUAUUUCAUCUCUAGUUUUCGUCUAAAGAUUCAUGUGGAUUUUAGAUUCUACUCUUUUGUAGGUUCGUAUUUGUACUAUUAUAAAAUGUGACUCUCUCUCCAAACUUUGCCUAAAUUAUGGAAUGAUUUUUCAUGUUUAUCCAGUGGUUUCCAGCAUUCUUGGCCCAGUCUGGGAUUCUACUCUUUUGUAGGUUCGUAUUUGUACUAUUAUAAAAUGUGACUCUCUCUCCAAACUUUGCCUAAAUUACGGAAUGAUUUUUCAUGUUUAUGCAGUGGUUUCCAGCAUUCCUCACCCAGUCCAGGGACACUGUGGGUGUGCCCAGCUUAAGUCCAGUAACUGGAAAUACAAGCCCAAGUUCUGGAGAGUUUGAGCUGCAGAGAUAUAUAUGGGAACACUUUGAAUCUUGACUCAUUGGCCAUAACCAGCAGAGUGGAAAAUACAAGAAGAGAAAAAAACAUUGAACUGCGAUUUUAUAACAUCCUUUACUAGGCAGAGAGAAGAGGAAACACCAGGAAAGAAAACUGUAUUACGAUGUGAAAACUUAAUGUUGAGAAAUUCAGGCAUCUUGGGGUUAGUGAGGAGAAGUUUUAGGGGCUUAGAUUCUUCUAAACACAUGUACAGAAAUGCAUAUUUCAUCUGAUAUCAAAUGGCAUUUAUAGUGCUAAUCUUUACCUCAAGACUUCACAUCUUUUGGUGAUUGCAUCUUUUAGGUUUAUAGCAGCUAAGUUUGCAUGAAAACACCAGGGCUGUUUCAUUUCAGUCAAGAAUUAAUGUUCAUUGAUUGUGCUUCUGCAUUUCAUGUAACUAUUGUAGAAUUUGUUUUAGUUUUAUGAGGGAAUAAUUGUUCCAACUUCUAUAUAACUCAGGAAUUUACUCUCAAACAACACUGUCAAUUAGUUACUUAUCUCUCUGGAAAUGAUCUGGGAACAUGGAGAGGAAAGGGAGGAAGGGGCAAAAUCUGACCACUUAAAUCUAAGCAUAUUAGAUCAUUUUAUGCUAGAAAGUCCUGAAUGAUGUGACUUUCGUUCUUGUAAAACACCUCUUUCCAUAGAUUCAUGGCCCAAACAGUAUAUAAAGAGUGGGGAAGGAACUGCAUUUGCAAAUAGUUCAAAUCAUUGCUCCAUCUUAACUACGCAGUUCACAAAGUGUGAAGAAAUGUGAUCAUCUCAAAAAAGAUAAUGGGGAAAAAAUAUGUUUUGUUCUGUGACUUUAAAGUCUUGCAAUAUUUUACAUAAAUGAUAAUGGGUGCUUUAAUAAGAACUCUUGAUACUUUUGUUAUUGUAUUCAAUAUAUGCAUAUAAUACAACAGGAUGAUAUUGUUUUGGAUUUGGAAAUGUAUUCUUUCUUAUGCAAUCUUAUGCAGUCAUACUGCUUGAAUAUCAUUACCUGAAUUUAUCUUUCUUUUUUUUGUUGUUGUUUUACACUCUACUUAUUUGGUGCCUGUCAGUCUUUUGUCGUCAGUUUAUAUUCUACUAAACUCAAAAAGACAAUCUCAUACCUUUUGUAAUUGUAGGCAUUCUUUACUAGAUUUUUAAAUACACUUCAAAAAUUCAAGUACUUUGAUUUCAUGCCAUCAAGUAGCUGAAUCUAUCCCCCCGUCUCUUUUUAAAUUUAAGUGAGUAGUUCAAUUUCUGUCACUUUCUACUUUGUGAAUUCUAAAUCUUUUAAAACCAUCUUGCCAUUUUUCGUGCACUUACCCUUACAGAAAACUCUGUGAAACACUACUUAUCUCUACUUUUAUGUUUUUAACUCCUUUUUUAUAUUACUAUUCCCUCUGCUUUCUAAAUGCACAUAUUAAUUUGUUCUUUUUAUUCUCUGUAGCUCUUCUCAGUGUAUGAAUUCAGUUUCCCAUCAGUCUCCAUACAAUUAAAAAAAAGUUGAGUAUUCUGUUAUUUUAAUAAGAUAUCUAGUGCCCAUAUUCUAAUUCUGCCCCUUAUUUUUAAUAUAAUUUUAUUGUUGAUUUAAAAUGACAACAGUUUCAAUUCCCAGAAAGUGAAAGGAAACAAAGGAAUAAUAUUAUAGGCUUAAUUUUUAUCAGUGAACUUGUAGGUGAAGAAAAGAUUUGGGGAAGGAAAUGAACAUAUUAUAUUGCAAAAUAGUAAGGAACAAUCAGAUGUGUUUUCUAGUCUCUGGAAAAGCAUGUUUCAAGAAAUUCAAUGAAAAGUUCAUCAUGCUUGCUUAGAUUGUUGAGAAGCAAAAACACUGAUGAACAUUUGGAAGCAAUGAGAAUGUAAUUCUAAUCAUACUCUUUUAAUAAUGUUGCAAAACUCUCCAAACACUACUCUGUGUGGAUGUCUUUCAGAAUAUGAUGAAUACUAGUAGUCUUAUUCUGCCCUUUUCUCUCUAUCACAAUAUAUACAUUCUAUAUUGCAUACACAUAUUUUCCAAAUAUUACAUAUAAUUUCAUGUAAUUUAUAGACCUAUUAAGGCCCAACCAUUUUCUUGGAUAGGGGAUUCUUUAGAAGUCCAGCUUAAAUAAAGCCCGUAUAGAAAGUUUUUUUAAAAUUUAUACAUAAUCACCUAAAGUAACCUUAUCUACUGAACUCUUAGUACAUGCUACUGGAACCUUUUAUCAUGUUUCUUCCUGGCUUGCAUUACAACACUGUUGACAUAUCUCAGCCUUACUUCUAGGCUUCUUUGAGAGCAUGACUCAUGUUUGUAUUCCUCACUGAGGUUGAAUGAAUAAGAGAAACUACAGUAGUAGGAAAAAACAGUACAUGUACAUAUCAAUGAAUAUGAAAGGGUCAAAUGGAUCUAUUAUAGUAAGCACAAAAUCAACUGACACCAGCAAAGUAAACCCAAAAUUUUUAAUGGUAUUUUAAUAGAUCAAGAGGAGCAAGCAGAUUUUUGAGACAGUUGUCUCCUACUUUCUCUAUCACAGGGAGUAAUUUUAAAAGAAAAAUGGAGGGUAAGUUUCUUUAAGAGAAAAUUGUAGUUUAAAACAGGUCAUGGGAUAAUUAGAAAUAAUUUAAUUUCUUUAGAGGAUUUUAAUCUUUCAACUGCUUGCAAUUAGAUCCUAAGGCAAUAAAAGAAUAAGGAGAUUUGGAAAACCAUUGUCUGUAAUCUCUGAAGAAAAGUGGACAUUAGGGGAGUCAGUUGAAAAGCAAAGCUAUCACCAUUUUCUAAAGAGGAAAAAGGUGAACCUCACAAACUAUAGACCAAAAAAAUAGGACAUCGAGAGAAAGAAUAUGAAGCUAGCAUAGGUUCACAAAGAAUGAGUCAAAUCAAACAACAUGCAUUUUUUAUUUAUAAAGCAUGACUUGUUCAUUGUCAAUUCAUGUUAGCUUAAUCAUUAGGCAUUAAUGCCAUCACUGCAAUGCAUAUGUCAGCAAUAAAUAAUCAAAGACCAGGCUUCCAUCAUUCUGUUUAAUAUCUUCAAGUAAUGCUUAAGUUUGCAAAUGCUCUUUUAACACAUUCUCCAUAUGCAGCCUGCCCAGCACUGCACACAAUAGACCUGUUACUUCCCCCUCACGAGCACUCCUAAUAUUUCAUGUGCUCAUCCAAUUGACUUCUCCCACUGGUGCCUCAUAUUGAAUUUGUAGAAUCACACCUGCUCCUUUUUCAAAACUCUUCUGAGUUUUUUCUUAAAUAAUUCACUGACCCCAAAGUUGUCAGAUAUUUGAAGACUACUCGCACAAUUUUAAUAUUAUAAAUGUAUAAUGUAAAUGUAAUUAAGAUUUGUAUAAUGUACGAUGUACUUUGGUAAAUAAAAGUAUGCUGUGAAUAAAUACGUAUGAUACAAUUCAAAAUUUUACAUAAAUAUGUGAUAAAAUUUAGCUCAUAUUCUUUUUUUUUUUCUUUGAGACGGAGUCUCACUCUGUUGCACCCAGGCUAGAGUGCAGCAGCAUGAUCUCAGCUCACUGCAACCUCUACCUCCUGGGUUCAAACAAUUCUCCUGCCUCAGCCUCCUGAGUAGCUGGGAUUACAGGUGCCCGCCACCAUGCCCAGCUAAUUUUUUUCUAUUUUUGUUGUUGUUGUUGUUUUUAGUAGAGACGGGGUUUCACCAUGUUGGUCAGGCUGGUCUUGAACUCCUGACCUCAGAUAAUCCACCUGCCUCGGCCUCCCAAAGUUCUGGGAUUACAGACGUGAACCACGGUGCCCGGCCUAGUUCAUGUUCUUUAAGGACAAUUAUGAAUAUUUUUAUGCACUGUUAAUUUUCAUUAAGAUAUUGAUCAAUUAAUAGCUAUAUAUGUUCUAUAAAUUAAUCCUAUCUAGUUUCAAUCUUAAAUUGUUUGCAUAUACCAAUCUAGUUUAUUGUUUGCAUAUAUUUUAUAGUGUAGAGAUUAGGCAUUUUAAUAAAAUUUUAAAAUUUCCAGGACAUACUGUUAAUGACUAUGCUUCCUACUAUAGGCCAUAAUUAAUUUUUUUCUAUUGUCAACAAUAUUUUGGUAGGGAUGAUCAGGAAAUAAGGAAAUGUUUCCUUCAUUUGUUAACAAUAGGUGUUUGGGGAUUUUAAAAUGAAAAUUGAAGAAGUAAAAGACACCAUAUAUUUAGUUUGUUUGAUUUCGUGGCUUCAAGAGUUCAAUAAUUUAUUGAAAUAUUUUACAGACCAAAGAACAACAGAUAUAUUACGUUUAUAAGCCCCCACAUAUUUUAAAGGAUAAUGGUUUAUAUAUGAAAAUUCCCUGAACCUACACUUCAUCAGGAAAAGCUAAAUAAAAGAAGUUUACAUUUCCUAGGACUAAUGGAGAUUUAUUUCCCAGUCCUCUUCUCUGGAGACAAAUGUAGGUCUCUCUUGAAAAGCAGAAAGUUUUGCAUAUGAGGUAUGAUUUAGUGGGCUAGAAACAUCUUUUCCACCCUCCCCAAAAUGUUUCACUAUGUUUUAUCAUACUAUCUGAUAAUUUUGCACUAAAGUUUUCUUUCUGUGUUAAGAAAAUGCAAAUAUCUCUGAAUGGGUCUCUUUGCUUUAGUCAUACUCAUAUGGCUACUACUGAACAAAAUAUGUUCAUUACAGGAUGAAGGGAAUGUUGCCAGCCAGCAAAUCCCUAGAGUUUGCACUACACCAAACGUUGCUUAGCAAUUUCCACGAUUUUCUCAGUCUAAUUUGCAAGAAUCAAGGAGAUGUUUGUGUAUGCUACAUGAAGUUGUAAAAUUGGUAUUUAUUGUAUGUUUCUAUAUCGAAAGCUUUACAAACAAAGGAAAUGGAAAGUUAACAGGUGGAUAUGAUAGUGUGGCACUACUUUAGCUGGAUGGUAAGGGAGAGCUUCUCUUAGGAAGUGUUUUAGGCCAGGACUUGAAUAAUGAACAGUAUCUAGUUGUACAAAAAUCUGGAGGAAAGACUUUUCAGGCCCAGGAGAAAUGAAAAUUCUUUUCAUGCAUACAAGAAUGAAAGUGAAAAUUACCUACUCUAUGUCCUGAAGUGGGAAGUUGGCUUGCCAGAGAGUAGGUAAUUUUCACUUUGAUUCUUUCAUGCCUUCAGUUAUACUACUUCUUAGGUUAGUUCAUAAGGGUUUCCACAAUUUGGUUCCCACUUAAAAUUUAAAACUUCCCUAACCCAUUCCCACCAUAUAUUGUGCUAAUCCAUGCAUAUGUGACUUUGCGUAUGCUGUUUUCAUUGUUUAAUAUUCUUCUCAUGCAUUCGUUCUUUCCUGAUAACGAACUCAUCUUUGAAACUCCCCUUCAAGCAUCCUCUACUUUAGGAGGCCGCUUCUCACUGUCUCCUGCCUACCACCCAUUGAAUUGUUCAAUUUUUAAGCUGCCAUUGUCUUGUGCAGUUGACACAUUUCUUUGCAAUUACUGAUUUACAUGUCUGCUUUUAUCACUGGUGAGGUUCUUUAGGACAGAGACAUUAUUAAUUCAUCUCUGGGCACAUAUGUUCCAACAUAUUAGAAGUACUACAGAGUGCUAUUACUAUGUAGUAUGUAGUAUUAGUAGUAGUUACUCACAAAUCAUUUUUAAAUAAGUGAUUAUAAUAUCUUUUUGUUAUUAUGAUUUAACACAAGAUGGAAUUUAUUUUCAGAAGUUUCCAUGAUAUAUUUGUUCUAUUUAAAAUCCAAUAGCCAUUAGAAUAUUACCAUUAUUUAAUGUAAAACAAUAAAAUAUUAAAUAUGAUCGUUCAUAUUUAAUGCAAACCGAACUCAUGGAAAUAUUGUGUAAAGAUCAAGUAAUUUUUGACAUACAAUUUUAAACUCAACUUUUCAUAUAGCAUACCUUAUGAUAUAUUUUCAGCCUACUUUUAAAUAUGUUGGCAUUGAAAGCCAGUUACUAAUUCGCUGAAUUCAUGAUUUCUUUUUAAGUUAUAGAAGUGGAAUUAUGUUUGAGAUAUUCAUUGCAUUACAUUUACCAGAACUUGAGUUCUUAACAUGGAACCUGAGAGUUUCUCCAAUUCUUAAGUCCCUGGGAGAAAUAGAUUAGCUGGAUGAGGAACUGAGAGGAAAAAUGGUCAGAGAUGUAGCAAGAGUUGGGAAGAAGGAACAAUGAUUUGCUUUCAAGGAGAUUUUUUCAUUGGUCUGUUUUCAGUGACAAACCCACUGCGAUAAUACAUGUAAAGUGAAAACAUUCAGGAAGUUCCCUUAGAAACCUCUUUUCUGGCAGUUCCUAAUUCUACAACAUUGUAUAAGUGAAAUACCAUAGUUACUGUCAUAGUAAAUUGAGCCAAGAGAAACAAGGGAGCAGGAGAAGAAAAGAAUUAAAGAGAGUUUUGUCUUUCAGUCUUCACUCUGUUUCUUCUUGCUUUUACCAGUCAUUCAGGUUUAUAUAAUUUCUUUAGAGAGGCUUCUACUAUGCAGGUCUUCCUUAAAGUCAUUGGUAUUACCUGGCAUGAUAUGUGAGCCUUUAAUAUCAGUCCCUUUAUCUCUUUAUUUUUAAAGUUUAUAUCAGUACAGAGUCCUGGAUUCUUAAUUAAUUUAAUAGGUUAGACUUUAUGCUAAUAUUCUUCAUUUUGAUGCUCAAAUUUUCCAAAAUUUGGCCAGCAGGGUUCCUUAAAGCUGGGUACCUUGCCCUUUCAACAUGUCCCUCUGAUUCUUUAUUUUUAUUUACUUAUUUAUUUAUUUAUUUAUUUAUUUAUUUAUUUAUUUAUUUAGAGACUGAGUCUUGCUCUGUCUCCCAGCCUGGAGUGCAAUGGCACAAUCUUGGCUCACUGCAACCUCUAUCUCCCAGGUUCAAGCAAUUCUCCUCCCUCAGCCUCCCGAGCAACUGGGACUACAGGCAUGUGCAACCAUGCCUGGCUAAUUUUUUUUGUAUUUUUAGUAGAGACAGGCUUUCACCAUGUUGGUCAGGCUGGCCUCGAUCUCCUGACCUCAAAUGAUCCAUCGCCUCGGCCUCCCAAAGUGCUGGGAUUACAGGCGUGAGCUGCCACACCCAGCCGUCCCUCUCAUUCUUUAAGUACUUCCAUGUUUUCUAAGGUACAAGAUGUUCCAUAUUAUUUUGUUAUUUGUCUUCCCCAGCUCUGAAAUCUGCCUUUCCUUCAAGGAGCCUUGGUUCUUUCUAGUGACAAAUUAUAUUUAGAAAGAAGAUCUGGGUAUUUGACUUGUAUAUUGCUAUUAAUUGGCCAUUGUUUCUAGUCUCUUUCAGUAGACAGAGCUAAGAAAUGUAAAAGGAAAUAUUUGAAUGUAUGUAUAUGUGAUAUAUUAAGUACAUUUAAACAUAUUAAAUUCAUGAGUUCAUACUAAUACUUUCAAUAAGCCACAAUUCCCUUUUCAUGUUUUCGAAGGAAAAAUAUCCAUUGUCUAUAUACAGUGGACAUAGAUAGUAAUAAUACUGAUCUUGAAAAGAGCAGUCUUAAAUAGAUCCCAUUAAUAGUUAAAGAUAACAUAUCUUAGAAUUCUAGAUAUUAGAGAGAUUAUCUAGAGCUGUAAUCUAGAUAUUUUAUAGAUCUUUGCUGUGCUGUUUUGAAUUUGUGUUGGAGUAGAACAAUCAGAUGACAAAAGCUCAUCCCACAUGGAAAAAUCAAAGCAUUCAUUACAGAGAGAAUUUUGAAAUAAAUGCAUAUAUAAAAAAUAUAUAUGCAUAUAUAAUGCAUAUGUAUAUGCAUAUAAAAUAUAUAUAUAUAAAAUGAGGGUUAUAAACAAUGAAGGAAAUAGUGAUACUAUCUAUGUGGGAACAAUACUAGUAUCCUCCCUUUGGAUGAAUACAGUAGCUACAGAUGCAAUUCUGGGGACUCUGUUUAGCAAUAGCUUAACUAUUGCUUGGCUACAAGCAUGGAUAACUUGUUCAAAGAUAAUGAGGAGUUGUAAAUAUUUAAAUAAACAGGAUUUGCAACAUAAAAAGCUUUGUGACUAUGUGUCUGAAUUCUUAGAGUUUUCUCCCAGCAAGACCUUGGAUGUGGCAGACUUUUCUGUAAUUGUCCAUCUCGCCCCUAUUUCAUGAAAAGCCAGAGCUUCUCUACUUAGUUUGCUAACCCCAAAUAUAUAAAUUCAAUAGAAGUACUAGCCUGUUUUUACUGGUUUAUUUGCUUUAUCUAAAAAAAACAAGGCAUAGUUUAAAGUCUGUUUUUGAUAGCAUAACAAAACAAAGGUUCUCAUUUUAAUAAUGCAUCACAUAUACACUUGGUAACUAUUGCAUAGUAAUAAUUUAAUAACUUGAGAAAUAUAUUUAUGCAUGUAUGUGUAUAUGUUCAUAUAUAUGUUAUUUUUAAUUCAGAAGUAAAACAAAUAUUGGAAGAGGCCACAGUUAUUAUAAAAAUAAUUUGACCAGUAUUGGACAAUGCAAAUAGCAAUCAUUUAGAAGUUUCUGUACAACAGAUGCCAUAUGUGUUACAUUUUAUUUGAUCAUCAAAAUUGUCAUAGAUAUUAUUAUCCCCAUUUCAUAGAAGAAACUGAGAUUAUAUAAUUUGUUCAACUUGACCAACUUCUUAUAACUAAUACAUAGUAGAGAUAAGGUUGAAACCUCAUUAACCAACUUCUUAUAACUAAUACAUAGUAGAGAUAAGGUUGAAACCUCAUUAGGUUUGACUCCAGACCCCAGCCUCUUUUGAGUGCAUCAUAAAAGGCUUUGGUCUGCCCGUGGCCAGUAACAACUUUUACUAAAUUGAUUCUUUGCUUUUUAUCUGUAAAAGGAAGUUAUUCACCUAUUUUGAUGAUCCCCAAUGUUUUUAACAUCAAUAAAUGUGUCCACCACACAUGAUAGUUUUUAAUGUUUUGUUUCCAUGAUUACAGGAUUAAAAAACUAUUAAUUAGUGAUACUUUUAAUUUUGAUUUUAUUAAUUAAAACACAUCUGUCUACAUCUGAAGAAUAGCACUUGUGACAACAGCAUAGACGGCUUCAUUUUGAGGAGUAAAUUACAAUUGAACAUGACCAAAUAUACAUAGAGAAGGCGUGGACCACACAAAUGUGAUUGAAAGCUGGCGUGGAGUCAUCUUAAAUUGACUUUUUCCCAAAGGGCCCCUAAAAGAGGGUAGAAUCCCAACAGAUAGAGUCUAUGGAGAGAUAGACUGCUGAGACCCAUAUUAUGGUCAGUGAAGUGCAGGCAAGGAAGGGAUCCUUAGCAAAAUGGGGAGAGGAAUGGAUGGUCUGAAAAACCCUGAAGGAACUGAAACACUCUGCAAAGGAAAGAAGAACAAGUAUCAGCUUUGACCCCUGCCAGACCUAGGCAGCAACAACGGCAGCUCACAAAGCACCAGAACAAACGCGCUUUCUUGUGCCCCUACAUGUCUUCCCUUCACCGUCUUGAACCCUGGUGUCAUCAUAAACUGUGUAAGUUAACAACUGAGGAGGGGAAGAAUGAUAAAUUGGGAAAAUAGAAAAGUGUCUGGGCCCUACUUUCAUACCGUAGGCCAGCCUUCUGUAGCAUGGCAGAUUAGGCAAGUGCAGAAGCCUUAAUUUUGAAUGAAAGUUGGAGUUUUUGUUCUGCUCUGGCUGUACCUAUCAGUUUCAAAACUGGAAUAGUUUAAAUGACUAAAGUACUAGGAAGAUUUUAUUACUUAAUAUAACUAUGGAGAACUGACCAAGAUUUUAUCUAGGGGGAGGAGUAUCACCCUACAGAGCAGACUUUAAGGGACAUUAUGAGAGAAAACAGUUACUUAGUGAUUUAAUGUUGCCAAUUCUGUUCUUUAGAAUACCAUCAUGUAUUUAUAUCCCUAUAUAUCACAUAACUAAAAUAUACAUUUAUCUGUACGCGUGUGUAUCAUAUGGAGCACAUUUUCUUUUGCAGGGUUUCUUUGUUUUAAAUGUCUAUUUGGUUAUUUUCUUGAUUGAAUUUCUGUGUAUGCUUUUUUCCUCAAUGCUUUAGCUGUAAGCGAAUAAGGUAAGGACUUUGUAUGCAAUAUUCUACAUGUUUUGUUUUAUAAUUAGAGAAUAUCUUAUUUUAUCUAAACCUCGUGUAUCACGUGAUAUAUUUGACACCCUGUCAUAUAUCAUACUUGGAUGCAAAUGUUUAUGAAACACAAAUCAUCUCAAAUCAACAGGAUCAAAAUUAUAUUUGAAAAAUGUAUUCAAUAAUAUGUGUAAGACAAGAUAAAAUUAAUUCUAAUUGAAUUCACACAGCGUUUGAAAUUGGAUGUAAAUCUGUAAUAUCAAAUUACAUUACAUAUGAAUUAUUAUUAUAUUUGCAUUCAGGAAAUUGUACUGUGUUCACUUCUGAGUAUCACUUAGAAAGAACAUUAGAACAGAUACCCUAUUUUCACUUUCUCUUCUCUUUUCCUGCUCCUUUUCUUCCUCUUUUCAAUAACCUGUCAUUGAAAAAUCUCUCCAUCUUAAUUAUCAAUAUGAAAGACUGAUUCUGAGAAAUGUAGAGAACCUAAGAUUUGCAUUUUGGUGGAAUAUAGAAUAUAAUUAAUAAAUAUUUUUAUAAGUAUGUAAAAUAUUUAAGAGGUAACAAUUUUAAGAUCUUAAAAGUCUUCUAUCAAAUACUGAAUUUUAGAUGUUAAGGCUAGUAGAGCUGUACAAAAAACAACAGCUUCUUGUAUGAAUGUUCCUCAGUUUAAAUAUUUAGUGUUCUAUUAUCAGUAUGUGGGCAUUAAAAAAACAAGUCAUUUGAAACUGAUAGAGAUAAUUAAGAAAUUCUUAGAUUUUGGGUAUAGGUGCUGCAACUUAGAAUUUAAGUGUCGUCCAAAAGAGAUUAGUAUUGGUCAUAACAUGGACUCUAAAGCCACCAUUUAAAUGAAGCAUGUAAAAAAGAAUAUUCUAGUACACAAAAGUUAUUAAUGGCCUAGAAUGACCUCCUUCUCACUCAUAUGAUGCAAAGAAUAAAGUAUAUAAAAAUGUUUGUUACAAUGGCUAUCCAUAAAAAAGAAAACCCUCCAAAACAGCAAAAUUGAAUAGGUAUCCACAGUCAACUUUAUCCUGAAAAUUGCCUAGAAAUACUGGUUGUGAUUACACAGCAUCCUGAGACCAAUGAAUCUUUAGACAGUAAUAAUUUCCUACUCUAAAGCUAUUCUCUACUUCCUCCUUAGUGACAGAGCUCCUUGCUGCUCAAAUUUUAUGCCAGAUAAAAUAUUCACCUUCUCGGACUCCCUGGCACCAGGCAUGGCCAUGUAAUGUAAGUGUAGGCAAUGAGACUAGGUAUGGACCCAUUAGGGGUUUCUUAGAAUGUUUUUGCUUUUCUAAUAUAGACAACCCUUUGUCUCUUUCUCUUUCUCCAGCCUACAGCACAGCUGAUGAAAGAGAAGACAUCUUGCUGCUAUUUGACAAGCAAGAAGAUAAAAGCUUUCCUAUAAAGAUGAUGGAGCAAAAAAAUAGAAGGGGCCUAGACUCCCUACCUUCACACUUCCUGCUAUAAAAGCAUUGCUAUUAUAAGGUUAAUCUGCAGAAACAGACUUCUAUGUCAUAUGCUUAAAUGCAUCAAAAUUCAUACAAUAUCCAUUAAAUUGGUAAAAGUAUCCAUUUUAAAGGAUUAAUCUGAGGGACCCACAGACACUUAACACAAUCAAAUCUCAGAAAAAAAAUCAGUUAUUUCAUUGUGAUUUUGAGGCUGAUCUUUUAUGAUCUUUUAGUUAUCAAACUGUUAAAUACAUUUUAACUUUCAAAUUUUAUGAAUAAAGGAGAUGAAUCCUGUUAUUUUCUCAGUGUGAGUGUGAUGAUGUGUGUCAUAUGUGCCUAUGUAUGCACACACAUGUACUCAAGGAGCCUGAAAGGGACCAUGACUUUCUGGGCACUCAAUGCUACUUAUCUCUAACUCCUCCUUCAAAUGUCCCCAUUCUAAGUCUACUUCCUUAGGGAAUAGGUACAAAUAUAUCCCAUUAAACAUGAUUUAAGGAUGUAUUUAUUUUAAACUUGUCAUCACUGGUGGUUG